rnacentral:rRNA from 1 species
GACGAACGCUGGCGGCGUGCCUAAUACAUGCAAGUCGAACGCACAGUUUAUACCGUAGCUUGCUACACCAUAGACUGUGAGUUGCGAACGGGUGAGUAGCGCGUAGGUAACCUGCCUGGUAGCGGGGGAUAACUAUUGGAAACGAUAGCUAAUACCGCAUAAUAUUGAUUAUUGCAUGAUAAUUGAUUGAAAGAUGCUAUUGCAUCACUACCAGAUGGACCUGCGUUGUAUUAGCUAGUAUGUGAGGUAACGGCUCACCUAGGCGACGAUACAUAGCCGACCUGAGAGGGUGAUCGGCCACACUGGGACUGAGACACGGCCCAGACUCCUACGGGAGGCAGCAGUAGGGAAUCUUCGGCAAUGGACGAAAGUCUGACCGAGCAACGCCGCGUGAGUGAAGAAGGUUUUCGGAUCGUAAAGCUCUGUUGUAAGAGAAGAACGGGUGUGAGAGUGGAAAGUUCACACUGUGACGGUAUCUUACCAGAAAGAGACGGCUAACUACGUG